CCCUUAGAUGUUCUGGGCCGCACGCGCGCUACACUGAUGCAUUCAACGAGCCUAGCCUUGACCGAGAGGUCCGGGUAAUCUUUGAAACUGCAUCGUGAUGGGGCUAGAUUAUUGCAAUUAUUAAUCUUCAACGAGGAAUGCCUAGUAAGCGUGAUUCAUCAAAUCGCGUUGAUUACAUCCCUGCCCUUUGUACACACCGCCCGUCGCUCCUACCGAUUGAGUGUGUUGGUGAGGAGUUUGGAUUGGCCUCGGAAGGUGGUUCGCCACCGUCCGUAGCUGAGAAGUUCUCCAAACCGCCCCACUUAGAGGAAGGAGAAGUCGUAACA
rnacentral:rRNA from 1 species